AUGCUGGGGGCUUGGGGAUUCAGAUCCUUGUCUUUGCAUGGUAAGCAUUUUUGGUGACUCAACCAAUCUCCCAGCUCAUCACCUGCUUUUGAAAUGCCCAUGCGCUUGGACAGGAGGGGGCCCCUCACCACCACCACCACCACCACCACUCCUGCCAAGAAAUACCCCAGAAAAGGUACAGGAUCUGUCUGAAGUGCACAGUUCUCAUCUUAGAGUCUCAGCUGUAGAAUUGUAGGCAAGCCAUUUUGAAGUGUGCCCUGUGCAGCUGAGCUGGUAGCUACUGCACAAGGCAGGAACUGGAAACGGGAGACAGUAGGUGGCCCGAGGAUGGGCCACUUCCUUUUCAGUAGCCUGCCUUUCCCUCCAAGGGCUCUGUCCUGAAGAAUUAAAUAUCCCUUUCUUUCCCAUCUGCUAUUUAUUUUCCUGCCCUUACCUUGAAAGGGGGAGGGAAAAAAAAGGUUUUUUGUUUUUUUGUUUUUUGCUUUUGUUUUAUCUCUGAAUGUCCAGGGGAGAAGAAGGGGAGAGUGGGAGAGUGUGGCUGAGCCUAGAGGGAUCUGCAGGGUAGCUAUCAGAGGAACCAGCUGAAGAUGGAUGUGGUCACUCAUUGGGCUGGGCUCCCACAUGGAACAUGCACAGGAAGCAGGGUUUGGGACUGGAGAUAAUUACACAUAAUAAAUUUGCCUGGUCUCCAGGGCUGCCAGGAGAAAUGUUUAGCCCAGAAAAUCAUCCAGCGCUCGGCACAACUGGGGAAGUCAGGAGGCUCACUGUAGGAACCCAUCAGGCUGCGAGAAGAAGUCACGCUGAAGCAGGAAGUGCGGGAUCCUGGAUGUGGAGCCCAGCCCAGCAUCAGAAGGAUGCUUUCUGGAGGGAUAGUAUGCUCCAGUUACAGAGGGACUCUGGCCCCACUACAGGCAGAAAGGCUAAGUUGGGCAGGGCUGUCUCUUUGAAGAGCUGGAUCUCGGGGAAAGGAGGUCACAGAGAUUUGAGUCAAGCUUAAAACCUUCCUGUCUGGAGCAUCUUCUCUGACCUGGCCUAUUUUUAGAAGUUUCUUUUAAGGUCAGCGUGGGAAGCCAUGGAUUCAGCCGCAUGCAUUCCCCUGGACACUCUCCACAGCCAGCACGUUUAAAAUGGAGCCACUGAGAAAAGGAGCUGGGGACACUCAGCAGGGUCAGCUGGCACCCUCCCAUGCUGUAUUGUCCCUGAGGAGUAGCCACCAUCACAAUGGCCUGGCACAGAGCUAACACCCAUCACAGAUGCAAGCUGCCAGUUCCUGGGCCACUGGGCCAGCACAUUAGCAUGGAUGGUUCAGAUGCGGAAACUGUAGCUAACUGAGAAACAACGGUCAUCAGAGGCCACAAAACAAGGGCUGCGGUGAAUCCAACAUGUCUCCCAUUGGCUCUUCAUUUUUGACAGGUUCUCAUGUAUCCUAAGCUGACCUCAAACUCAUUCUGUGACUAAGUAUGGCCUUGAACUCCUGAUUUUCCCACCCCAGCUCUCAAGUCCUGAGGUUGUAAACACAUACCCCGACUCUCAGGUGAUGUGAUGCUGGACCCCAGGGCUUUGUGUAUGCUAAGCAACAUUCUACCACAGCCCCAGCCAUGGGCUCAUACUUUGAAUGCUUUACCUACAGCUACGGAGAACUAUUUUGAAGGCUGAUCAAAAUAUGUCAUUAGGGGUGGGUCUUCAGCUGUGGUCUCUGCUUCCUGCCUGUUGCCAUGUGAACAAGCCAUCACUACCAGUUCCCACCGCCAUACACCAAGACCUCCAGUCUACCUUUUCUGCCGUGAUGAACAGGAACUCACAGAAACAGUGAAAAUAAAUCUUUCCUCUCUGGCGCUAUCUGCGGUGGGCUUGAGAGAUGCAGAGAGGAAAGACCACGCAGCAUUACUCCCCCUCCCCCUUUCCGGAAUCCACGGAGGAGUCAUCCUCUUAAUUCUGCACAAGAAUCUCAGGAGAGAAUCUGAUUGGCUGAACUCUUUUGUCCUUGUUUAAGGGAGGGGCAGUAUUUUGAUUGACAGGUCCUUCCUCCGUGUGUGUGUGUGUGUGUGUGUGUGUGUGUGUGUGUGUGUGUGUGCGCGCACACACACACACACACACACACACACACAUGAGUAGGCACCCACACUGAAGCCACUGCCCAUGAACAGGAGGAUGAACAGUCCCCGGAAGCAAAGGAAGAUUCUAGAAAGCACUCCAUUCCUUAAAGACUUCUGGGGAUUAGCAUGCUACCCGUUGACUUCCAUCCUCUGCCUUUACAUCCCUCUGGUAAGUCUGUGUGAGGAAAGUUAGUUAAUUCCACGGCUGUGCACAGCUGGCCGUGACUCAACCAUCAAAACCAUGUCUAUAAAUGUAGGAGCCGGGCUGGCAAGGGUCCAGAACAGCCAGGGCAGGGUUUACUCUCAGUGCCCAAUGUGAUCUCCAACUGGAGAUGUGUGCUAGACCACUGACCAGAUAAAGCACUAAUGAAUGAGAGGAGGGAAUAGGACAGAUCGCCAAAGUCCUAUGGAUAGCUAGAGGACUGCAGAUCCCGCUCGCUCUAGCUGCCAAUCUUCUCAGUCUGGAAUAAGCCACGCCCACAUGAGCCAAGCAGCUACACCACGCCCAUUUUUGUACUAAAGGCAGGCACCGCCCCUCAAACAGCACUCAGCUGCCCUGGCCAUCAGGGGGCUCCACUAUGCUCUGAGAUGAAGGAUGGGACCAAGGAACCUUCAGACCUGCACUGAACUCCUAAGACCAAGGUUCCUAAAACCAUGGGUUUUCCAGGGCACUGAUUCCGGGAAGGAAACGGAAGCCUUGAAGUCCCAAUUCAGCUCAGCCUUCCGUGUUCAUGGAAGUUACUCCCAAGCUUCAGCCAUUGUCAAGCAAACAGAAAUGGCCAGAAGGACCUAGCUUUCGGAGUAUUUUUAUAUGACAGAGAAAGAAAAAAAAAUCACAAAUUCCCCUACCCUUCACUCAAAAAAGAUUUGUUAGUAGCAACUCACUCUUGGAGUGAGGAGAGGGAGGGCUGGGGGUGUCUUGUGUAUAUUCAACAAACUGUUUCUUCCUCUCUGUCUCUGUCAAAAUAAUUGUCAACUCUAUGGAGCUGUGCACGUGUCUGUCUCUAUGUGUGUUUUUAUAGAACGAAGAGGAGACAGGGCUUCUUGUCUUAACUUUGAGACCCAGAGGUCGGGAUGCGAUGGACUUUCACCUUCUCUCCUAUUCCAUUUCAGGACAGUUGGCUUCUUGCAAAAGGAUCUCUGUUCUUCCGAAAGCCACAGAGCUUCUCAGGAUCUGUUUUCUGCGAAAUCAGGGGAAUUAAAGAUACCUGUAAAAAUCACUUUCUGUCUCAAGUGGACUAAGGACAGAAGGCAAGAACGUUCUCCUUGAUUUUAUUCUGUGCACUGAAUAUCCUGGACGGCACGACAUGUCUUGGCGAAGGAAACUGGUGAAGAUUUAAGCUAGAGUUUCUUGUACUUUUUCCAGCUGUGACUAUUUUUUUUAACACAAG
rnacentral:lncRNA from 1 species